UACGAAGGGGGCUAGCGUUGCUCGGAAUGACUGGGCGUAAAGGGCGCGUAGGCGGAUGGUACAGUCAGAUGUGAAAUUCCUGGGCUUAACCUGGGGGGCUGCAUUUGAUACGUGUUGUCUAGAGUGAGGAAGAGGGUCGUGGAAUUCCCAGUGUAGAGGUGAAAUUCGUAGAUAUUGGGAAGAACACCGGUGGCGAAGGCGGCGACCUGGUCCUUUACUGACGCUGAGGCGCGAAAGCGUGGGGAGCAAACAGG
rnacentral:rRNA from 1 species